GGUUAAGUCAGGCAACGAGCGAGAUCCUCGCCCUUAGUUGCCAUCGGUGGAAAGCCGGGCACUCUAGGGGGACCGCUGGCGCUAAGUCAGAGGAAGGAGAGGGCGACGGUAGGUCAGUAUGCCCCGAAUCCCCUGGGCUACACGCGGGUCACAAUGCGCAGGACAAUGAGAUGCAACCCCGUAAGGGGAAGCCAAACCCAUAAACCUGCGCUCGGUUCGGAUCGAGGGCUGUAACUCGCCCUCGUGAAGCUGGAAUCUCUAGUAAUCGCGUGCCAACACCGCGCGGUGAAUGCGUCCCUGCUCCUUGCACAAA
rnacentral:rRNA from 1 species